rnacentral:rRNA from 1 species
UGCUUUUCCGCUGACGAGUGGCGCACGGGUGCGUAACGCGUAUACAACCUACCUUUUACAGGGGGAUAGCCUUUGGAAACGAAGAAUAAUACCCCAUAGCAAGUGAUUUUCGCAUGGAAGACACUUUAAAGAUUCGUCGGUAAAAGAUGGGUAUGCGUCCUAUUAGCUAGAUGGUGUGGUAACGGCACACCAUGGCAACGAUAGGUAGGGGCCCUGAGAGGGGGAUCCCCCACACUGGUACUGAGACACGGACCAGACUCCUACGGGAGGCAGCAGUGAGGAAUAUUGGACAAUGGGCGAGAGCCUGAUCCAGCCAUGCCGCGUGCAGGAAGACUGCCCUAUGGGUUGUAAACUGCUUUUAUACGGGAAGAAACCCGUCCACGUGUGGGCGGCUGACGGUACCGUAAGAAUAAGGAUCGGCUAACUCCGUGCCAGCAGCCGCGGUAAUACGGAGGAUCCGAGCGUUAUCCGGAAUCAUUGGGUUUAAAGGGUCCGUAGGUGGACGAUUAAGUCAGAGGUGAAAUCCUGCAGCUCAACUGUAGAAUUGCCUUUGAUACUGGUCGUCUUGAAUUAUUGUGAAGUGGUUAGAAUAUGUAGUG